ensembl:lncRNA
GGAUUAGUUAUCUUAAAUUGCCCCUGGUUGUGAAUGAGCAUGUGAAUGUGUUGGCAUCUCAUCCAGGGUGAAUUCCUGCAUUAUGCCCAGUGUUUACUCACUGAAUCCACUGUGGAACUGGAUAGGAACUGGAUCGACUAUGGAACUGGAUAGGCACUGGAACCACUGUUGAAGUGGAUAGGCACUGGAUCUACUGUGGAACUGGAUAGUCACUGGAUCCCUUGUGGAACUGGAUAGUCACUGGAUCCACUGUGGAACUGAACUGGAUAGGCACUGGAUCCACUGUGGAACUGGAUAGGCACUGGAUCCACUGUGGAACUGGAUAGGCACUGGAUCCACUGUGGAACUGGAUAGGCACUGGAUCCACUGUUGAAGUGGAUAGGCACUGGAUCCACUGUGGAACUGGAUAGACACUGGAUCCAUUGUGGAACUGCAUAGUCACUGGAUGCAUUGUGGAGCUGGAUAGUCACUGGAUCCAUUGUGGAGCUGGAUAGUCACUGGAUCCAUUGUGGAACUGGAUAGGAACUGGAUCCAUUGUGGAACUGGAUAGGCACUGGAUCCACUGUGACCCUGAGCAGGAUAAACUGGUUACUGAAGAUGAACAAAUAUCUUUCUACCACAUAUAUAGCAUACACCGAUCAGCCACAACAUUAUAACCACUGACAAGUGAUGUGAAUAACAUUGAUUAUCUCAUUACAAUGGUACUUCUCCAGGGGUGGGAUAUAUUAAACAGUAAGGGAACAGUCAGUUCUCGAAGUUGAUGUAUUAGAAGCAGGAAAAAUGGCCAAGUAUAAGGAUCUGAGGGCCAAAUUACGAUGGCUAGACGACUGGGUCAGAGCUUCUCCAAAACAGCAGGUCUUGUGGGUUGUUCCUGGUAUGCAGUGAAGUACCUACCAAAAGUGUUCUAAGGAAGGAUAACUGGUGAACUGGCAACAAGGUGAUGGAUGCCCAAGGCUCAUUGAUGCUUGUGGGGAGCAAAGGCUAGCCCAUCUGGUCCGAUCUUACAGAAGAGCUUCUGUACCAAAGAAUCGCUGUAUGCAAAGAAUUUCAAAAA